rnacentral:tRNA from 1 species
UAGCUCAGUUGGUAGAGCAGUUGACUUUUAAUCAAUUGGUCGCAGGUUCGAAUCCCGCACGACCCACCA